rnacentral:siRNA from 1 species
UGAGCUGGCAGAGCUACC